GCACUCUGGAGGCGUGGAAGAAUUAAAUUGCCAGAAACUGAGCAGUUGAACUUUCAAUUUGAGAGCAGAAUUUCAUAUCAAGAGACCAUCUUUUUAAUUUCAGAAUACGAUUUUAUAUUAUUGCUCUCAAAACUUGUAAUGCUUGCGCUCAAAAUGUCUGCUCUCUUUCAAAUUCACUCUGUUCUCCUUCAAAUCUUUGUUUUUGCGCUCAGAUUUAACCUUCUUACACUGGUAUUGUCUUCUCAUGUGACAACUUUUUCUCUGCACGGAUCAAAACUCCUCCCACAAGUCUGUCCCCUGCUCUCACGGAUCUUGUCUGCUCUCGCUCAAAACUUAGAAGUACAAUCUCCUAGCAACCGCUCAGCCAAUAGAAAGACUUGUUGGACUGGGCGGGAACAAACCUCUUUGGGGUGCGCUUGUUUUGCGCUCUGUGGAUUUUCCUGUGUGGCUGCCGCAUCUGCGCACUAACAGCCUGGCUAAUACCCGCUCUGAUCUGGAGCGAGAGUUUCACCUGCACCAGCAAAAUGGACCAGAACCAACAAGACGCUCAAACUGGUUCCAUCCGAGAAGUUACGAGAAACCUUAUGGAUUUACUGAAUGCUCAUCUACAAGCAGAGGGCCCGCAACAAACACCAACUGUGCCACAGCGCACAACACCAGCGACAACACCUUAACAGACUAUCCCUCGGUCUACAGUUCAUCAAGAAAUGUCAAGGUAAGUUAAGUGUAGAAAUGUAAAUAUUUGACAUCUGCAUUGGUCUAUUCAGUGGUUUGAAAUUAAAUUAUUCCAAUGAUGCUUUAUUAUUCAUCUUAGAAAGAGGCUUUCUGCAAUUGACUGUAUUUUUUUUUUACAUAGUGAAAUUAAAUUCUGAAAUAAUGUAAGCAGUGUAGUAUAGGCUACAGCUAGGGCUGGGCAAUAUAUAGAUAUUUUAAAAUUAUAAAUAUAAUUUUAAACGAGAAACAAGAUGACUUUGUAUUGAUAUAACUAGUCAAGCCACAUAAGCUAGCAACUAGCUUGCUCCGUCUGUAAGCGGUCAUUUCAUGUAUUCUCACAAAUCUGCUCAAUCAGAAAACCUCUGGGUCAAUGUUCUGCCCUAAACUUUGCAUUUGGCUUCAUGGUUUUUAAUUAUUUGGGGAUAUUCGUUCAUGUUUCAUCAAGCCUGUUCACCGUGGUUACCAACGGAGUUCUGUUUACCCCUCCCUCCCUCGUGUAAUUGGGAAACAACUACAGAGAGCCGGAGUGGCCAAAUGACCUCAAACAUGUUGUAAUGGCUUCAACUGUAAACGUUAGGGUUAACAUUUAAUUUUGAAGGUGAGUUCAGCGCUAAAAGUUUUUCUGGUUCCGGUUUUUGAUGCUUUGCUAUGGUCGGGGCUCAGCCACGUGAGUUCGGAAUAGAACGGGUGGUUUCUUGUUCACAUGUGAUUCCCAGGGCUUCUCAGGAAUGCGGAAAUCCCCGAGCAUGUGGGCGGCGGUAAAGACGCACGGAAGAAGUCUGCGGUGUCCGCCUAUGCUAAACCAUAAUUCCUCAUCAAACCGCUGCACCAACACACACUGCGCUUCUCUAAUAAUCUGCUCUCCUCUAAUCCUUCCUACUUCAGCGCUGUAGUGUCCUCCGCUGCAGACGUGUCCUUAUAACCGCUGCUACACACACACACACUGCUGUCCUCCUCUGCUGCGGAGCGGGAGACAGCAGGUUAGUGCUUCAUGUGGGCUAAACAGCAACCAGGAUGAAAAGUAAUCGCAUAUGCGGAAACCCCCCGGUGUUUGAUCCAACUCCCCAAUAGGAGGCGGUAGGUGUGAGUUUCAGCUGCCAAUCAGUCCAUAGUGUCUGCUCGGCACCAGCCGGACCUCCGAGGGAAGUAGUCUGAAAAAAAAGUCUCCUUAGAACGAAAUACACACAUGUGAGCCAUAUGCGAACAAAACAUUUGGUUCCGAACGCAUCCAUGCCGACCCAGAUGUGAAAGCGGCUUAAGUGAGGGAAAAUACUAACAUGGGACGACUGUGAGAAUAAGGAGUAAAAUAGUUUAGUUUUAAAAAUAGUUUCCAGCUCAAAACAGGAGACUUGACAGGUGUGAUCCUGGAAUUGUGGAUGAAGUCUGUCAGUGAAGCUCUUGGGAUCACAGCUCCACCUCUCAGUUCAGACUCCACAGAGCUCCUAGUGUGUGAGUUCUUGUUCUCUUCUGUACUUUUAACGUUAACGCAGGAGAGUGUUUGCUGUUGUAUUUCAGUUAUAAUGUGAACAACCACACAAAACAUUAAAUUUACUCAAAAAUUCUGAAUGGAUUUUUAAGACCUGCCGUGUGAACGUAGCCUUAAGCCUGAUUCAUGCUUCUCCGUCUGCGUCAGUGCGGAGACACGCAACGUCCUUGCGUGCCUGCCGGAGAGCUCCGCAAGGACGGACGGAGUCAAGCUCUCUUUUCUAAACAGCCGUCAGUCGAGACGGACAACGCAAGCUUGUGAUUGGUCAGGAUGCCGCUGUUGUUUACAGCGCCGCCAUUGCACCCUCAAAAACAUAAAGAGAGCCGAGGAUAACAAGCGGCAGACACGGAGCAGCUUGAAGAAUACCUCGCGAAAAAACUCUAAAAACAUGAACUUUUAGUUCCCCCGUGACUGGAGGAGUGAAAAGAUAUGCAGCAAGCGUUUUAUUUGUGGAUGGAAAUGACAGGAAACGUGGGUUUAGAGGUGGCGAGCGCAUGAAGAGGUGGAGGAGAAUGAGAGACAAAUAUGUCCAUGUUAAAAGUCUCUUAUAUACACAAAAAAUACAAUAUAAACACAUUAUCUUGGACCAAUACAUGACAGGAUACCACAGAGCAGCGCUACGCCCUCUGUUGUCCUGCCGGGCAAUUGCUUUGCAACACUCUCCAGGAGACGGAGAAGUAUGAGAGCAAAACACUUCCGUCAAUCAGUGCGUGUCUGUCCCUUGCGGAGCUGACGGAGAAGCAUGAACCAGGCUUUAGACAGCAUGUUUCUUUGUACAUAAGCCGUACCAUAGACAUCAUUGGCUGCUGGAGAGUAACUGCUUCACCGCCAUAUUGAGUUGGUUUCUAACUCCAAAACCCAAUUUGAAUCCAGUCAUUGGAGCAACUAUGCCUGUUUUUGUGCAGCUCACAGUUCCAACAACCAGCAGUUACAUCUGCCUGUAAGCUUUGUUUGUUAAUAAAGUUAUAUAAAAAUAAAAAAAAACUGUUACGUCACAAUCUCCUUGCUUUCUACAGGAAGUUAAAAAAAUUAUUUCAAUAAAGAUUGAAACACAAACAUGAAGCUAAAUGAGGAGCUCUAUGAACAUACUGAACGCCGCUUUAAAAGAUACUGAAUGUGAAAUAUGGCAUUUCUCUACUGCUGACUGAUGAAAGGGAGUCCGAUGUGCUUGUUGUCAUUUUGCAGGAGGUUGAACGAUCUGACAAGGUAGUUAGCCCGUAAAAAAAUUGUGCUGCAACACUCCCAGUGCUUUUUUUGUGGCCUUUAUGGCUAUUCAUCAGCAGAGACAACUGCCCGCAGAUAAACGGAGAAGGAAGUGACGCGCCACCAACAGCGUCAGCCUGAAGAAGCCGGCAGCCGUCGGCGAAACUGUAGCUACUAACAGGUAAACAAAACUGUUUCUGUGUUUAAAAAAGAACGAAAGCAUGGAUUUAGAAAGACACAGCAAGAACACACCUAAGAUGCUGAACUGCAGUUGCUACUGGCACAAAAUUGGGAGCGUUCAAACACUAAGGAACUUUAUCUAUUGUGCAGAGAAUAUGUUAAUGCUGCUUUGUCAGAUUAAUGUGUACUUGAAAUAAAAAAAUCAAGAGAUCAGUUCCAGUGCUUUUAUUAAUGUUACAAAAGAAAUACAUAACAUGUAUUUGAAAUGGCAAUAAGCCUAACUUUAUGGAUUCAUGUAACAACGUCGCUUUCUAGCUCCAAAACAUUACAUUAUUUAACAAAACCAUUUGUCUUUUUGGAUUCAAAGUUAAAUUUGAACCAUUAUACAGUAACCUGAACCCAGAACAGUGGCCAUCUUGUUUUCACUUAAUGUCUGCUAAAAUCAAAUCUAUCACAGACUGCCUGAGUAAGCUGACUUUCAAAGUCAGUGUAUGUAGUAACGUGCCAUGUAGGUAAGGUGAUUAAGUGUGGUCCAUACCGGGUGGUACUGUCGUGAUCAACAUUUACAGUUAUCUUGUAAAAUUCUCUUUCUGUGUCUGUUAGUGGCACAUGUGCCUGGCCUGAAACCCACUGAAAAAAAUCCUUGCACUGACAACUGCUUUGCUCCACAGCCAUCUGAUGGGCUCCCAUCUUGGUCAUCUGUUCCUGAAGGGUGAAAAAAAAAAAUCAGUGUGUCACUAACAUGAUUGAGGUUCCCAGGAAGAAAGAGGGGCUGAAGUGCCUGGUGGUGUUGUGGCAACAGCUCAUCCAAACCCUAGAUGGCCAGUCCUUCUCUA